CUUGCAUCCGUCCAGAUUCUUCCCCUCCUCUUUCUUCUCUCUCUCUCCCUUUCUCUGACUGCUCAUUUCUUCUUCUUCCUCUAUUCUUUCUUUACUCUCACUUGAACUACAAUGGUAGAGGACGUGUGUUUCCUCUACAAGAGAAGGUGGAAGAACACAUUAAAGCUGCGAUUUUUAUCUCAAAAAAUCCAAGAGUACAGGAAAGAGAUUCGUGAAGCCAUCGAAGGUUACAAAGGAUAUACAUACUGAUCGUGGUGUCUGUGGCUCAGUGGUAUUUCACGUUCAAUUGCUUACAAUUGGUCUCGACCCAACAUGAAAAUCGGUGUUAGGAUCAUUCACGCAACUUCCUCUUACCGGAACGUUCCUGUUUCUCGCAAAGGAAGAAGCCCAGGUUUUUUGUUUUACAGGAAGAAGCGUAG